rnacentral:tRNA from 1 species
UGGGGUGUAGCCAAGUGGUAAGGCAUCUGGUUUUGAUCCAGUGUACCGUAGGUUCGAGUCCUUCCACCCCAG